GUGUAACAGAAGGAGCUCCCUUCCUCCAAAACGAAGAGGACAAGAUUUGAGGAACUAAAAUGCAGAAUCUAAGAGUUCAUGUCUUCCUCAUAGAGAGUGCGCGGUGUUAAAAGCUUGAAGAAAGCACACUUUAAGGGGAUUGCACGACCUCUUAGAUUCUCCCUCUUUCUCUACAUAUCAUUCUCUUCUCUUCGUUUGGAUUGAAGGGAGCUCCUUUUCUUCUUCUC
rnacentral:pre_miRNA from 14 species